UACGUAGGGCGCAAGCGUUGUCCGGAAUUAUUGGGCGUAAAGAGCUCGUAGGUGGUUUGUUACGUCUGCUGUGAAAACCUAGGGCUUAACCCUGGGCUUGCAGUGGAUACGGGCAGACUAGAGGUAGGUAGGGGAGAACGGAAUUCCUGGUGUAGCGGUGAAAUGCGCAGAUAUCAGGAGGAACACCGGUGGCGAAGGCGGUUCUCUGGGCAUGUCCUGACGCUGAGGAGCGAAAGUGUGGGGAGCGAACAGG
rnacentral:rRNA from 1 species